AACAACGCCAUAACAAUUUUAGUGAAGAAGGAACUGAUACCAGAAAACGAAAAAUAGCUAUAGCAAGUAGUGUGGAGUUUGAUACGCAGGAGCCAAGCCAAAGCAUGUCAGUGGAGGAUGACAGUGCAGAGGAAACCUUACCAGAGGCAGCCAGCACCAGCUCAGAUCAAAACGAUGACACAGAUGAUGACCUUGAAGAUGAAGAUACAUCAGAAGAUAUCAGUGAUGAAAUACCACCAGAGGAAGGCGUACCCUCUGCAGCAGUGACCACCAAGCCAGUAUUGUCUAACACACAAUCAUCGGCAAAACCAUAAAAUACAGUAAUC